rnacentral:rRNA from 1 species
UCGAACGCGUCUCCGUUAAUGAUUUUAGGUGCUUGCAUUUGAAAGAUUUAACAUUGAGACGAGUGGCGAACUGGUGAAUAACACGUGGGUAACCUGCCCUUGAAGUAGGGGAUAACACUUGGAAACAGGUGCUAAUACCGUAUAACAACCAAAACCACCUGGUUUUGGUUUAAAAGACGGCUUCGGCUGUCACUUUAGGAUGGACCCGCGGCGUAUUAGCUUGUUGGUAAGGUAACGGCCUACCAAGGCGAUGAUACGUAGCCGACCUGAGAGGGUAAUCGGCCACAUUGGGACUGAGACACGGCCCAAACUCCUACGGGAGGCAGCAGUAGGGAAUCUUCCACAAUGGACGAAAGUCUGAUGGAGCAACGCCGCGUGAGUGAUGAAGGGUUUCGGCUCGUAAAACUCUGUUGUUGGAGAAGAACAGGUGUCAGAGUAACUGUUGACAUCUUGACGGUAUCCAACCAGAAAGCCACGGCUAACUACGUGCCAGCAGCCGCGGUAAUACGUAGGUGGCAAGCGUUGUCCGGAUUUAUUGGGCGUAAAGCGAGCGCAGGCGGUUUUUUAGGUCUGAUGUGAAAGCCUUCGGCUUAACCGGAGAAGUGCAUCGGAAACCGGGAGGCUUGAGUGCAGAAGAGGACAGUGGAACUCCAUGUGUAGCGGUGAAAUGCGUAGAUAUAUGGAAGAACACCAGUGGCGAAGGCGGCUGUCUGGUCUGUAACUGACGCUGAGGCUCGAAAGCAUGGGUAGCGAACAGGAUUAGAUACCCUGGUAGU